rnacentral:rRNA from 1 species
GAUGAACGCUAGCUACAGGCUUAACACAUGCAAGUCGAGGGGAAACGAUAUUGGAAGCUUGCUUCCGAUAGGCGUCGACCGGCGCACGGGUGAGUAACGCGUAUCCAACCUGCCCACCACUUGGGGAUAACCUUGCGAAAGUAAGACUAAUACCCAAUGAUGUCCAUAGAAGACAUCUGAAAUGGAUUAAAGAUUUAUCGGUGAUGGAUGGGGAUGCGUCUGAUUAGCUUGUUGGCGGGGUAACGGCCCACCAAGGCGACGAUCAGUAGGGGUUCUGAGAGGAAGGUCCCCCACAUUGGAACUGAGACACGGCCCAAACUCCUACGGGAGGCAGCAGUGAGGAAUAUUGGUCAAUGGGCGAGAGCCUGAACCAGCCAAGUAGCGUGCAGGAUGACGGCCCUAUGGGUUGUAAACUGCUUUUAUAAGGGAAUAAAGUGAGCCUCGUGAGGCUUUUUGCAUGUACCUUAUGAAUAAGGACCGGCUAAUUCCGUGCCAGCAGCCGCCGUAA